rnacentral:tRNA from 1 species
GGAGGGUAUCUGACCCUGGUGGGCAGCACGGGCUUCAAACCCGAUGAGUGGCUAGUUGACUAGUUGCUGGUAGGUUCGAUUCCUACACCUUCUC